rnacentral:piRNA from 1 species
UUUGGCAGAGAGCAUGCCCCGAAUGGUC